AAGAAACCUUCGUACAUGGGAGGCCAUGCAUCUAAGUUAUGAUAGACAUCUUAUGACUCGAAAAUUAUCAUUGGUUGACCCAAUAGACCCCAAAGAAAAAUGAAAAGAUUACUAUCAUGUUCUUUUCAAUGGUGAGUCUUCUCUUAACAUAUAAUUAUCUUCAUUGUCUCCAAUUGAGAAUUAUAUUUCAACCAAACUCCAAGAUUAUAUAGGUAGUGCUCAUAGAUAUAAUCAGCAAGUGCAUGUGUACAACCUUGUCUUAUGAUAACAUGAAGUCGUCUGUCAUUAGACAUCUUGUAUGAUAGUAGCAAAACACCCUUCCAAAGUUGGGUUCACCUCACCCUAUUCCAUUCACAAAAAUCAACGUAUAAAAUGAUGUAUAAAAUAUGACACACUUAUCCAAAAUUCUCAAUAAAAUUAUUUCCUUACUGUUUUAGGGGAAACCUCAACAGCUAUAGACCAUCGUUUU
rnacentral:lncRNA from 1 species